GUCUGUCAGGCUGUCUGAUCACAGAGGAAGGCUGUACUUCUCUGGCCUCAGCUCUGAGCUCCAACCCCUCCCAUCUGAGAGAGCUGGACCUGAGCUACAAUCAUCCAGGAGACUCAGGAAUAAAGCUGCUGUUGGCUGGACUGAAGGAACCAGGCUGGAGGCUGGACACUCUCAGGGUGGAGCCUGCUGGAGUCCGAUGGUUGAGACCAGGUCUGAGGAAGUAUUCCUGUCAAC